AUACCUGUGAUCACAGAAUUGAUUCUUACCUAAACUAACAAAUUUCCCCAAACUGUUUAUGGAUUACUAAGACAAUAUUUUCUUCUUUAUUUUCAGCUGUUAGAAAGCAAGCUUUAGGGUGAAGUAGAACCAACAUAAAUGAAGAAUAUAUAGUUGUCAAUUGAAUGGCUGUCUGAAUGAGGUUGAGUGGUAAAGAUAGAUGGAGGCCAUAGUGACCUGAGGCUGGCUGGUGAAGACUUGGUUGUUGGUGGUUAAGGGAUGUGACAUGUGAGUGAACUGGCCAUGGGUUGCAAAGAGGAACACUGACCUGCCAUAACCUACUGCAUCUUUCCUGGAGGUGAAGUUCAUUUUCUGUCAAAGAGAAAAAG